rnacentral:rRNA from 1 species
CAAUAGCGUAUAUUAAAGUUGUUGCGGUUAAAAAGCUCGUAGUUGGAGUUCUGCCAGGUGCCGCCUGUCCGCCCCAGUGGUGAGUACGUGGCGCGCAUUUGGCCCUUUCAAGGGGAGCGUAUCUGCACUUUAUUGUGUGGUGCGGGAUCCUUGACUUUUACUUUGAGGAAAUAGGAGUGUUCCAAGCAGGCUCUCGUCGUGCACAGCUCAGCAUGGAAUAAUAGCAUUGGACCUCGAUUCUAAGCUGUUGGUUGCCAGAAGCGAGGUAAUGAUGAAGAGGGAUAGUUGGGGGCAUUCGUAUUUAACUGUCAGAGGUGAAAUUCUUGGAUUUGUUAAAGACGAGCAACUGCGAAAGCAUUUGCCAUGGAUGCGCUCUUUGA